CAGAGGCUGCAGGGACGGCAGAGCCUCAAAUAAGACUGCAAAGAAUUUAAUUACCAAGUCCUGUGAUUGACGUGCAAUAAACGUCUUGAUAUUUUCUAAGUUUAUCAAGAAGCAGACGGAACACCAGACGGAAACAUAUGCGAUUCUUUCAGCCUGUACAUCUAGUGACACCUAGUGUUGAAGGAUUUUAAAGGGAGGAUGACAAACUGGAGUCUUUACAAUACUAUGCUAAGAUCAUCCUUUAGAAAUGCAGUGUUUAUGCCAUGCUACACAACACAGCAACAGCACUGUCUUGUCAGUGGUCAUGUGAACCUGCUUGAAUCAUCGGAUGUGCAUCAUAACUUGAAAAUGAUAAGGAAAACAGGAAGCAGAGUUGAGUUGCAGCCAUGGAAAAGACCCUCAACACAGGAAAUAAACCGAAAAACAAGAGGCCAUCUGGGUCGCUGCACGCAAAUGACUGGUGUGAUGAGAAGGAGAGCUCUGCCUGCCGUCACACAGCUGUCCACACACAAACACAAGCAGAGUUUCAAGAUGGUGAAGACGUACCGCCAUUUGCUCACUCUAAUGAUGGCGUUCUUGUUCUGACCAUGAUGGAGGGAGAGAAUGGAUGGACGCCUGGAUUUAAAGGUGUUUAGCCGAUGGCGAGACCACACACAGAGGCAGGUCCUGGGGAAAAUGAUCUGAGGUGAGGAAGAUGAAUAACUGUGUAUUUACUUCAGAAAUAUCAUCAUUUCAAAGAUGUAAACUAUCUGAAUACAGCAUUUGAGGAGCCCAAAGACUGAGGUCAGACCAACCGUAACUGCAGCGAGAGUUAAAAACCGCAUGGAGCAAUAUGGUGUUGUGCUUUGCACUGCCAUGUAGGCUAUUCAACGUGCCACCCAGCAGAUGGGAGAAUGACAAGUGCUGGAGUAGACUGAAUGCCUAGAUUAGCGCCAGCGUCAGUCUUCGGCAGCAUUGUGACACAAAUACCAGCCGUUACAUGGAGAGCUGCGGUGGUAGUCAGUGGAAAGAUGGAGAAGCUUUUGGGAUGAAUUCAUGUGUGGGUACGACAGAGGUCAUUUUAAAGCAUGUGCUCGACCGACUAUUUCACUCUCUCAUGAAGUUGACGACACAGAAAGAAUCUGACCUUUUUGUCCAUAACUGCUGGAAUCAUCCGAUCAAUCAUGUAAGCAGGCUGAAGGUCACACUGAGGUUAGAAAUAUCCCAACAGUCUGAGGCUGCAUGUUGUAGCAGAGUUGAGAAGCGCGGCAUUGAACACGGUCUUCUCCAGGGUGUGGACCUCUGCUCCGGGUGAGCUCUCUGCUUUAUCUUCGCUGCCACGGCCCGAGAAGAGCAGAGUUAAUCACCUGUCUAUUUCAGGAAAGCAGCUCAUUAGCCUGCAGAAUUUAACCAGAGCCAGGAGGAUUCUCUUAGGAGAGGAACACAGAGCAUGUCAGGGCUCUUGCAAUGUUGACCAUAUCGCAAUGUUGACCAUAUAAGAAAAUGUAAUUUAUAUAUAUAUAUAUGUGUGUGUGUGUGUGUGUGUGUGUGUAUACAUGAAAUGCCUACAAUCUCACGUCCUUUCUAAGACUCAAAGCUGUCAUCUGAACACUAGGAAGGUUUUUAAAAACUCCCAACACACAAUGGUACUUCUCACAAACUGGAUAGUGAGUAUAUGCAAACCACAGGCUGCAAAUCAAUUCCAUAAUCUUAACCUUCACCAAUCCAAGCUAACACAAUGUGACUUUUAACCUUUCACCCAUAUGACUCUUGCACAGCCCAGUUUUGACUUGAGUCUUGACCGACUGUCCGAAGCUUUAGUUAACCUCUGACCUCGUCCACGAUGAGUUGCAGAUGUGUCAUUAUCUCACUCAGACGCUUGACUCCACAAAGUCUUAUCUUAAAAAUAUCAAUCUUAAAAAGUAGUCUCGUGGCAUCACCUUAAACUCUUGCUGUGACCGUGGGCUUGAUGAUGAAAAAUGUAAUUUUCACUUUAAUAGGAAUCUUCACACGACAUGUCUCCUCAACAUUAAAUAUACUGAAGUGACGUUUUACUGUAUCCAACUAAGUAGCACCUCCUUCGCAAGAACAUGUCUCUUUCAAUUCAUCCAUUUUCUGUAACUUCACCUGGACAGAAGUAAAUACAUGAGGCCUUUCAGCUACACAGGUGAAAUAAAGUUUCCGGACUCCCCAUUGCACUUGAAUGCAGUGAUGUGAUGGUUUAUUUAUUUUUGGUUUAGUUUUCUGUAAUUUCACAUUUUCUGUAAUUUAUUGACUUUAAUACGGAAGUAUGAAAUUGAAACUGCCAAGAAUUUAGAUGCCUUGUUCCACUAUAAAUACGAAUUAUUAUUAUUAUUAUUGUUUUAUUUUUUUUUUUUUUUAUUAUGCAAGAGUUCCAGUCAUUUCUGAAAACAUGUAAUAGGAAGUUGAGGUGAAUCUAAUAUGAAUCAGCCUCCUUUCAUUUAUUCUCUGUUUGAAUAAACCUGAACUACAGUUUCAUGAUUCUGAUUCUGUGUAUGAGUGACAUCAUUUGUGCAGGCAGGUGUUUGUCACAAGUUUAACACUGACUCAAAAUCGAGUCGGAUGGCUCGGUGGAUGCGCCUGACAAUAGUGGGUGGUCUCACAGUGUUUGUCACGUGGUGGCUUGUAUUGUUGUGUUUCCUGCCGCCCUUCAGUUCUCUUCCUACUGGGAACAAAAAUACCAACAUGGCAGACAAAAUACUGUUCUGUGAUGGAAUGUGACAAAAAGGUUCAUUCAGACAUUCCACUGCUUCUUUUCCAGGGAAAUAGAAAGCAGCAUAUGGAAGUUUGACCCUCUCUCAGAACUGUACUUUAUCACUUUAUGGUGAUUUGCAGAUCAGCAACAUCACUGAACUUGUUUGAAUUCAAUUGUAAAAUACUUGGAGGGGGAGAUACUUUUCAUUGUCCUGCAAACUUUGAACUUUACAACAUGAUCUGCCGUAGUUAAGAACUCAUUUUGAAAAGGCCCAUGCAAUGACUCACACUGGUGGUCAUGAUUGGUUCUGAAUAGCUGGUGUAUCUGACCGUGGGAAGCAGGGACAUCAGUGUGGGUGACAGCACAACACAGCCAAUGUCAACUACAUUACAUGAUGCAGUUUGAGAUUGAAGUGAUGAGGCAAUGGUAUUUUCCCAUAGACCUUGUGUUCCUCCAUCUAUGGUCACAAGAUUUGGGCAGAGCACACACUGGAGAGAUAACACCCCAAGGCUAGAUGGAGUUUACCCCUCCAGUGACGCUAGCACAGGAGGAAAUCUGGGCCUCUUUGCUUGUGGCCCCUAUAGUCUGACUUAGGAUCAGCAGAAGGUUGUAGUCACUACUUCUUCAUGGAAUGAAAGCAGUUUGUUCUGCAGCUAUUCCUGUAUCAUUGUGAGUCUAUCAGUACCAUGAAAGGAAAACGACUUAAAAGGGAGAAUCCCUUUCAUGUCAUGCUGGUGCCAUCCGCUCCCAUGAGCCAAACUGAAACAGAACACAUGUAAAACCACUCAAAUAAUUGCUGUCUCUUCUUCAGGCAUGUUCAAACACCAGGCGGCAUUGUACACACUCACUGAAAGUGAUUUUCAAGUCCAUGUCCUGUGUGGCCCCGAGGCUCUGCAGCACAUGACAAACAGCACAAACAGUUGACUCUCAUGUUGCCUAGUCAGUGUCAGCUGAGCUGCGAGGCGACAGCAUUGUGAUACAAUCAUCAAACAGCAACGGGGAUGCUUCUUACUUCAAUGGCAUUAUUCGAAUAAAGACAAAGUUGUUAAUCCCAGACUAGGCGUGGUGUUUCUGUCCUCCUGGAAAGCGGCCAGAGGACGUCCAUAAACAGAUUGGCCAUUGAAAGGCCAUCGGGCAGCUAACAUCAACAACACUUCAAGCUGUGUGAGCCUGAACAGACUUCCUCUGCUUCCCGGCUUCACAUUCUCUCGACGUGCAGUUACUGCCCUGGCUAACACACACACACACACACACACACGCACACCUGCACCUCCUCCUAUCCCCCUGUUCCCAUUGUCCCCUGUCAUCAUCUACCUUGCCCCAUCCUUCCCUGUGAACACUUAUUCCUAUUUCCACCUCCUGUGUUCUCUUGGCUCCGAUCUUAAGCCCCAUCAACCACACAGCUGUUAUGUAACCUGCGAUUAGGUGUGUGCGCCUGUGUCUGUCCUUUCUGGGAUGAUCUGAAGAAGAAGAGUUCACUGAUAACUUUGUAGCUCAUGUUCCCAUAAUUCUAGGUAUUUGAUCUUUGAACUCAAAUUCACAUCACCUUCUGCUUCAGAGGAACUUCAGGAUGCCGUAUCCACUCAGUGUCGAUUGAGAUUGAACUUGCUGUGAUUUUGAACUGAAGGGUGGAAGCUUCGGCUCUAAGAAGUCAUAUCACUGUUUCUCACAAAUGCUUGCAGCUAACUACCGUCACUAUAUCAAGCUGUAUAAAGCACAUGUUUAUGAUUUCUAUAGUUUCAUUGUAAGUUACAGCAGACAAACACAUUCUUUUGUAAGUGGUGGCAUUGAAAAAAGAACUGCACUGAUGGUUGAAACUGUCAACAAAGGCAGCUCUGAACUGGCCUAGGUGCAGCUUUCAUUCAUCUAGAAUGAAAAACAAAAGUGAAACGCCAAAUAAAAAUUGCGCUUGGUCAAUGAAAACCGACUCAGAGGUUUUUUUUACAUAUUAAAAAAUAAAUCUUUGCUUCUUUUUUGUUUAGUAGUGUCUCUUGGAGAACAUGAUUUGACUUGGUGCAAAAAUGUUCACUGC